rfam:Cavia porcellus supercont2_22 genomic scaffold, whole genome shotgun sequence.
AUUCUCAGGUUCAUAAGUGUGAUGACUGGGUGCUCAUGCUCCAUGCAUGACCUGUGCCUCCUUUGAACCUUGUUACGACCUUGGCACAUUACCCAUCUGACA